UACGUAGGGUGCGAGCGUUGUCCGGAAUUACUGGGCGUAAAGAGCUCGUAGGUGGUUUGUCGCGUUGUCCGUGAAAACUCACAACUCAAUUGUGGGCGUGCGGGCGAUACGGGCAGACUGGAGUACUGCAGGGGAGACUGGAAUUCCUGGUGUAGCGGUGGAAUGCGCAGAUAUCAGGAGGAACACCGGUGGCGAAGGCGGCCCCCUGGGCCGUUCCUGACGCUGAGACGCGAAGGCGCGGGGAGCGAACGGG
rnacentral:rRNA from 1 species